ACAACAUUCGGACCGUCGGUCUAGCGAGCAAUAUCACCCGCUUGCACCCCAGUGGAAGAUCUUCCCUUGGUCGU
rnacentral:pre_miRNA from 1 species